rnacentral:lncRNA from 1 species
UUAUCAAUAAUAACAUUGAAUGUAAAUGGACUAAACUCUCCAAAACGACAUACUGGCUGAAUGAAUUAGAAAAAACAAGACCCAACCAUCUGUUGCCUACAAGAAACCAACUUCACCUAUACAGAAACACUUAGACUUAAAGGGAUGUAGAAAUACAUUCCAUGCAAAUGGAAACAAACAAACAAAAAGAGUAAAAGGAGCUAUACUUAUAUCAAACAAAAUAGAUUUAAAGAAAAAAACUAUAAAAAGAGUAGAUAUCUAGAGCAGCCAGAUAUAUAAAGCAAACAUUAUUAGAGCUAAAGAGAGAGGUAGAACCCAAUA